rnacentral:rRNA from 1 species
GAUGAACGCUAGCUACAGGCUUAACACAUGCAAGUCGCGGGACCGGCGCACGGGUGAGUAACGCGGAUCCAACCUGCCCUUCACCCCCGGAUAACCCGGCGAAAGUCGGACUAAUACCGUAUGGUGAAGGAUGGGGAUGCGUCCGAGUAGCUUGACGGCGGGGUAACGGCCCACCGGGGCUACGAUCGGUAGGGGGUCGGAGAGGAAGGUCCCCCACACUGGAACUGAGACACGGUCCAGACUCCUACGGGAGGCAGCAGUGAGGAAUAUUGGUCAAUGGGCGUAAGCCUGAACCAGCCAAGUAGCGUGCAGGACGACGGCCUAUGGGUUGUAAACUGCUUUUAUGCGGGGAUAGGUACCGCAUGAAUAAGGACCGGCUAAUUCCGUGCCAGCAGCCGCGGUAAUUC